rnacentral:rRNA from 1 species
GACGAACGCUGGCGGCGUGCUUAACACAUGCAAGUCGAACGAAGUGGCGAACGGGUGAGUAACGCGUAAUCAACCUGCCCUUCAGAGGGGGACAACAGUUGGAAACGACUGCUAAUACCGCAUACUGAAGGAGGGGAUUGCGUCGGAUUCUCUAGUUGGAGGGGCAACGGCCCACAAAGGCGAGGAUCAGUAGCGUGUCGGGGAGGAUGAACGGCCACAUUGGGACUGAGAAACGGCCCCGACUCCUACGGGAGGCAGCAGGGGGGAAUCUUCCGCAAUGGACGAAAGUCUGACGGAGCAACGCCGCGUGAGUGAUGACGGCCUUCGGGUUGUAAAGCUCUGUUAAUCGGGACGCGGUACCGGAAUAGAAAGCCACGGCUAACUACGUGCCAGCAGCCGCGGUAAUAC